UCCGUUGUAUUCUAGUUGGUUAGGAUACUCAGCUCUCACCCGAGAGACAUGGGUCCGAGUUCCGGCAACGGAA
rnacentral:tRNA from 1 species